UACGUAGGGUGCAAGCGUUGUUCGGAAUCAUUGGGCGUAAAGCGAGUGCAGGCCGUUAGUUAAGUCGGGUGUGAAAUCCCUGGGCUCAACCGAGGAAGUGCAUCCGAAACUAACUAGCUAGAGAAUGGUAGAGGAAGGUGGAAUUCCAAGUGUAGAGGUGAAAUUCGUAGAUAUUUGGAGGAAUACCGGAGGCGAAGGCGGCCUUCUGGACCAUUUCUGACGC
rnacentral:rRNA from 1 species